AACGAACGCUGGCGGCAUGCCUAACACAUGCAAGUCGAACGAGACCUUCGGGUCUAGUGGCGCACGGGUGCGUAACGCGUGGGAACCUGCCCUUAGGUUCGGAAUAACUCCCCGAAAGGGGUGCUAAUACCGGAUAAUGUCUUCGGACCAAAGAUUUAUCGCCUUUGGAUGGGCCCGCGUUGGAUUAGCUAGUUGGUAGGGUAAAAGCCUACCAAGGCGACGAUCCAUAGCUGGUCUGAGAGGAUGAUCAGCCACACUGGGACUGAGACACGGCCCAGACUCCUACGGGAGGCAGCAGUGGGGAAUAUUGGAAAAUGGGCGAAAGCCUGAUCCAGCAAUGCCGCGUGAGUGAUGAAGGCCUUAGGGUUGUAAAGCUCUUUUACCCGGGAUGAUAAUGACAGUACCGGGAGAAUAAGCUCCAGCUAACUCCGUG
rnacentral:rRNA from 1 species